rnacentral:lncRNA from 1 species
UUUUUACACUGUUCGACUGCGAUGACUGAGGAAUCCACACUGAUUUCCGUUUUUGUCGUUCUUUGUUUCUUCUCUUCGACAACGUUGUCAAUUUUACAUAUGAUAUCUGAUGACUGUUGUGCCGAAACAGAUUCUGGUGAUUCCAAUGCCUCGACAAUUUCCAACUGUUCUGUUGUCAUUUGUUUAAUUUUCUCCUUUUUAUCAACGAGGUCGUCAGAUAUGGUUGGCUUUUCAUCUGGAGUGAAUGCUGAAGUUUGGUGGAUUUCGGUUUCAGCACUGAAGGGCUGGACAACAUCUGUUUUUACAGAAAGAAUUUCAGUUUUCUCGUCAGAAGUUGGACUAGACGAUUCCUGAUUCUGAAUAAACACCUCUUCUAUUUUUUGAGAUAUCGUGUCUUCCAUCAGUUCACUUGGCAAUGUCUCCGCAAUCGCUUCGAUGUCAUAUUGUUGCUGGGAAGGAGUUUCUUCUGGUCCUUCUGGAACUUGUUCUUUACCAAGUGAUUUGAAAGGUCAUCUCGUGCGAUUGUUUCCAACUUCAUUGCAGAAACUUCUUUCGGACUCGCAUCUUUGUCUUGUCGUGGAGCCCCUUGCUUUUUGACCGGCUUUAAAGUGACUUUUUCCACUUGAAAUGAGGCCAGUUCUCGUUUUGGAAGAGCUUUGGCUUUCUUUAGCGGUUUGGUAGUUGUGGGUGUAACUUCAGCCGUUUCAGUGCCUUCUAAUUUGAUAGUUUCCUGACUCCUCACUGGAACGUCUUUCUCAGACGGUUGGCCGAUUUCAGCAAUAGCAGAAGGCGAGAACUCGUUCUUUGGAGUCGGCCAUGUUGGUUCGGUAGUCAUUUCGACCGUUUCAUGUGUAUUUUUCUUCUUUUUCGUCUUUCGUUCCUUCUUAAGCUCACGGAUUUCAACCACAUCAUCAAUCACCACCUGCAUCACCGAAGGAAUGGAUCCCAACUGGAUUUCCGAUGAUACCUGCUUCGACGAAAUGUGCAUCCGGUUUUUCAUCUUUACUUUCCAACAUUUCAUCCAGUUCUAGUGUACUGGCUGAGGGGAUGGAUUGUUCAUUGGAAACUUCACUUACAUGGACGGAAAUAGCACUUGUUUUGUCAAGCCUUUCAAUCUUCAAUUGUUCUUCCGUUCGCCUCGUCUGUCACAUCAGUCUGUUCCAGUCCAUGGAAUUCGGUGACAAAUGUUUCUUGAGCAACGGUCGCUUUUUUCAAGGUCGAAACUACGCAAACGCUUUGCAUUUGCGUUUCGUGUUCGUGAUCGGAACCUUCCUUGUCCGAAGAAGACGUCGAAUCGGAAUAUUUCUUCUUGCUGCUUGAUCUGUGGAACAUCCAUCCAAGACUUUUCUGCUUCUGGAACUUGAUUUGGUUUCACGACAGCCUCGAAAGUUGUUUUGACAGUGCCAUCUUCAUAAACGGAGCUUUCUUUAUCGGAGGCAGAACUCAAUUGAACAUCAAUUCUGUCUUCAAUAGUCUUUUUGACGCCAGUAUUGUGGAAUCGACAGUUACCGACUCAUCAUCUCCAGAAAGCGAAAUCUCUUCUAGGGAGUCUGUUGGCGAGGUCGUUUCUUGUGCUGGAUGGGUUUGCAUAAUCUCUAUCGUCGUAACUCCAGAAGGUGUUGGAAUAUCAAGUGCAACUUUAUGUUCUGGAAUGGGUUCAUUUUCCACAGAAUCGGAGGAAUCGAGUGCGGAUUCUUUCGAUAAUUCCAAAUGAGAUUCGCCGCUCUUGUGAGGUAACUUUGAAUGCUCAUCGCGUUUAUCCUCUAACUGAGUCAUUUCUUUUCUGAAUUCAUUUGCCUGUGGAACGGUGGUCUCCGUCGAGAUUUCCUCAACCGAUUGCGGCGCAUCUGGUGCCGGAUAGUUGACCAACUCGUGUUGUUCUGACGAUUCGCUGACCCUUUUCAGCUUGGGCGUCACGCGGACGGUGGCCUGUGACGUCUGAACUUCUCGGAUAGGCGACGUCUCUUCCGUCACCAAAACGGGACUGCCCGUGCAAACGAUAACGGAGGUACGUCGGUGAGCUUCAUCUGGGGGAACGACUUCUACGCUACUGACGUCGUAUUCGCCCACUAUAUCCUGCGCUUCCUGCCCAACAAGGGGCUGGACGAUCCAUGGAAACUGUUCCAAUAUCGCUGUUGAUUGCCCGGAGGGUAUAUUAUCAUCGCUCACUUUGUUGGACGUGAUUGGCAUGGGAAUUUCGUCUGGAUACGAUGUUUCCAUUUCUUCGAUGCUAACGGUCGUUUUGCUUGGCACUUCCGGCGAAAUCACAAAUACGCCCGGCUGAUCCUCUAACUGGAUGGGAAUGAAUCGCUCUUUUGGAAUAUUAGACGCUUUCUGUUCCUCAUCCGGAAGGGAAAUGAUGGGAAUGCUUUCUUCGACGUUACUUGCUGUUGGAGACGCUUCGUUUUCCAACAUUUCGCUAAUCCGCAAAUCAGACAAUUGUUUGAUCAAUGGCUGCGGUGUUGAAACAUCUUUUUCGGUUGUUUUACUUUCACGAACGAUUUUACUCUCCCCGCCACGUUUCAAUACGGUGAUUGUUUCCUCAACGGAACGACCUUGAACUCUAACCUGACUACUGCGGAUUUCAAAUGAAAUGGGUCGCUCGAUUGCAGCGCCAACUGGUGUUGGCAGGUUUACCACGAUAUCGGGCGUGUCUUCGAUCCUAGCACUCGUAUCGACGAGUGGCCUAACGACUUGAGAUUUCGAUUGCAAAUUUCCUACGUUUAACGAAGAAAUAUCAUCCGGUUGAUCGGAUGAUUCGGGUCUAACAUCUGCCAAUUCGGGGCAAAGAGUUGGGAAAAAGGUCAAAUGAGAUGUGUGAUCGUCUGUAUCCGCUGGACGAGGAAGCAAAUCGUGUGUUGUUGUCGCACUGAGUUGUGUUGGUGACGGUGUCGUGAAGAAGAGUGUCGUGUUGCGUGUAUCCGGUACAGGAGAUUCUAAAGAAAUUGACACGUCGAAUACCACAUCAACGAUCGCAUCUACUACUUAUAUAGGUCUGAUUUAAAACAUCAGGUAAUGUCCCAGAGCAAAGUAUGUACAAACGAAUUUCCGAAACUGAAAUGUGUGCCCAAACUGAAAAAGUUAAGAAAUCAAAGCGAAUAUGGAUGGAAAAUAAAAUGAGAUGGUAUCCAAGCUUCAUUCUUACGUUAUGAUUGGAAUGCAUAUCGUUGGCGCGAACCCUUGCUUGUGAUGUAUAACGUGUUAUCCGUAUCGAAAACGGAUUCUGGUAUAUGUUUUUUGAAUGUUUCUCUUUUUGUUCGUGUCAUGCCGUGUUAAGUGUGUGCAUUUUGGAACCGAAUAAAAAUAGGCUCUGUUGAUAAUUGAGCAAAUAAUGUCAAGCAAAAGUUGGUCGUUUCUGGCCAGGAUGAAGCAGAAACAAACGAAAAAAAAACGUAAAAGUUGGAUUCUUGGCUGAGGCGGAAGACAGGAGCGAUGUAACAAAAUUUUAAAUGAAAAAAAAAUUAUAUAGAAAUAAAUGUUAUUCUUGUUGUUUAAGGAAACUAAAAUUCGUUUAAAGGAUGUCUUGGCUUUGGUUUAAGAAACAAAAAAACAGAAUAAACGUAGACUUACUGCUA